CCUACGGGAGGCAGCAGUGAGGAAUAUUGGUCAAUGGGCGCGAGCCUGAACCAGCCAAGUAGCGUGAAGGAUGACUGCCCUCCGGGUUGUAAACUUCUUUUAUAAGGGAAUAAAGUGAGGCUCGUGUGCCUUUUUGUAUGUACUUUAUGAGUAAGGAUAGGCUCACUCAGUGCCAGGAGCCGCGGUAAUACGGGGGGUCCGAGCGUUAUCCGGCUUUAUUGGGUUUAAAGGGACCGUAGAUGGGUUCGUAAGUCAGUUGUGAAAGUUUGCGGCUCAACCGUAAAAUUGCAAUUGAAACUGGAGUUCUUGAGUGGGGGAGAGGCAGGCGGAAUGCGUGGUGUAGCGGUGAAAUGCGUAGAUAUUGGGAAGAACACCGGUGGCGAAGGCAGCAUGCCGGCGCUCAACUGACGCUGAGGCGCGAAAGCGUGGGGAGCGAACAGGAUUAGAUACCCUAGUAGUC
rnacentral:rRNA from 1 species